rnacentral:lncRNA from 1 species
UUUUAAGUCAAGGUCCCAGUCCUGCAGAAGUUCAUAACCUAGUCAUUAGACUUUAGUGCAAAAAUAGAAGCAUAAUCUCAAAGCAGUGCUGUAAGAAAGGGUGGAAAGUGCUGCAGAAGUGCAGGGGUGAGGCCAGUGAUUCUGAUGGCGGAUGACAAAAUAACUUGCAAAGGAGAUGAAGUUUGACCCAGGAAUUGAAGGGGUAUCCUUGUAAAUUCACGGCCUGGCUCUUGUUUGCACCAAAUGACAUCCCAGCCAAAAGCAUCUGUGAUGUUGUCAGUAGACUCCUGUUGCUCUGUGAACACCAUGGAGAUCAUUCUGAGAAGCAGAGAAAAUAGAAAUUCCAUUCAGAGGAGGCAGCAUGUGGCACCACUGGACUGUGGCAAUGAGCAGGUCAGUCAAUAGCACGUCGCGGGCUGUGGGUGUUUUCUUGUAGUUCUUUUUUUGCAU